GAUGAACGCUGGCGGCGUGCCUAAUACAUGCAAGUCGAGCGAACGGACGAGAAUCUUGCUUCUCUGAUUUUAGCGGCGGACGGGUGAGUAACACGUGGAUAACCUACCUAUAAGACUGGGAUAACUUCGGGAAACCGGAGCUAAUACCGGAUGAUAUUUUGAACCGCAUGGUUCAAACGUGAAAGACGGUCUUGCUGUCACUUAUAGAUGGAUCCGCGCUGCAUUAGCUAGUUGGUAAGGUAACGGCUUACCAAGGCAACGAUGCAUAGCCGACCUGAAAGGGCUGUCGGCCACACUGGUACUGAGACACGGUCCAGACUCCUACGGGAGGCAGCAGUAGGGAAUCUUCCGCAAUGGGCGAAAGCCUGACGGAGCAACGCCGCGCGAGUGAAGAAGGUCUUCGGAUCGUAAAACUCUGUUAUUAGGGAAGAACAUAUGUGUAAGUAACUGUGCACAUCUUGACGGUACCUAAGCAGAAAGCCACGGCUAACUACGUG
rnacentral:rRNA from 1 species